AGGAGUGUAGCUCAAUGGUAGAGCUUCGGCCUUCAAACCCGGCUACGUGGGUUCGAUUCCUGCCGCUCCUG
rnacentral:tRNA from 1 species